rnacentral:rRNA from 1 species
CCUACGGGUGGCAGCAGUGAGGAAUAUUGGUCAAUGGACGCAAGUCUGAACCAGCCAUGCCGCGUGCAGGAAGACGGCUCUAUGAGUUGUAAACUGCUUUUGUACGAGGGUAAACGCAGACACGCGUAUCUGUAUGAAAUUAUUUUAUGCAUAAGGAUCGGCUAACUCCGUGCCAGCCGCCGCGGUAAUACGGAGGAUUCAAGCGUUAUCCGGAUUUAUUGGGUUUAAAGGGCGCGUAGGCGGUCGGUUAAGUUAGAGGUGAAAUCCCGAGGCUCAACUUCGGAAUUGCCUCUGAUACUUUUCGGCUGGAGAGUAGUUGCGGUAGGCGGAAUGUAUGGUGUAGCGGUGAAAUGCUUAGAGAUCAUACAGAACACCGAUUGCGAAGGCAGCUUACCAAGCUACUUCUGACGUUGAGGCACGAAAGCGUGGGGAGCAAACAGGAGUAGAUACCCUGGUAGUC